rnacentral:rRNA from 1 species
UACGAAGGGGGCUAGCGUUGCUCGGAAUCACUGGGCGUAAAGCGCACGUAGGCGGCUUACUAAGUUAGGGGUGAAAUCCUGGAGCUCAACUCCAGAACUGCCUUUGAUACUGGUGAGCUUGAGUCCGGAAGAGGUGAGUGGAACUGCGAGUGUAGAGGUGAAAUUCGUAGAUAUUCGCAAGAACACCAGUGGCGAAGGCGGCUCACUGGUCCGGUACUGACGCUGAGGUGCGAAAGCGUGGGGAGCAAACAGG